rnacentral:rRNA from 1 species
AUUGAACGCUGGCGGCGUGCCUAAUACAUGCAAGUCGAACGAGUGGUGGACGGGUGCGUGACACGUGGGAACCUACGCAUCAGAGGGGGAUAAAAGUUGGAAAAAGGUGCUAAAACCGCAUACUGAUGGAUGGACGCGCGGGGCAUUAGCUAGGUGGUGGGGUAAAGGCCUACCAAGGCGACGAUCCGGAACUGGUAGUAGAGGAUGAUCAGUCAAACUGGAACUGAGACACGGUCCAGACUCCUACGGGAGGCAGCAGUGGGGAAUAUUGGACAAUGGGCGAAAGCCUGAUGCAGCCAUGCCGCGUGUGUGAAGAAGGUCUUCGGAUUGUAAAGUACUUUCAGUUGGGAGGCGUUACCAACAGAAUAAGCACCGGCUAACUUCGUGCCAGCAGCCGCGGUAAUUC